GAAAAUCUAUUAAAAUGCAGAGAAACAAAGUUGAAUGACCAUAUAGCAUGGACUCAAAAGUGUCGGUUGGCAUUGCUCGGCGUGCAUGAUAUCGUCUGGCACAAAGUAAAUUAUGAUCGCUUUGAGAAGUGAUAUACAAGUGCAACGAUAUGAUAUAUAUGCUCUCAACCAUAUGAAGAUCAACAAAAACAAAUAUCUUGUACAUUAAAUAAUAAUUUUAUGUCACACAGAACCAUCAUAAACCGAGUUAAUGAUGUUAAAGGAGG
rnacentral:lncRNA from 1 species